rnacentral:rRNA from 1 species
CUUUGAUUAUGGCUCAGGAUGAACGCUAGCGGCAGGCUUAACACAUGCAAGUCGAGGGGCAGCGCGGGGCGGCAACGUCCUGGCGGCGACCGGCGGAAGGGUGCGUAACGCGUGAGCGACAUGCCCGUUGCCCGGGGACAACCGGUGGAAACGCCGACUAAUCCCCGAUGGGACGGAGGCCCUCAUGGGUCUCUGUUGAAAGUUACGGCGGCGACGGAUUGGCUCGCGUCCGAUUAGCUUGUUGGCGGGGUAACGGCCCACCAAGGCUACGAUCGGUAGGGGUUCUGAGAGGAAGGUCCCCCACAAUGGAACUGAGACACGGUCCAUACUCCUACGGGAGGCAGCAGUGAGGAAUAUUGGUCAAUGGGCGGAAGCCUGAACCAGCCAUGCCGCGUGCGGGAAGGAGGCCCUAUGGGCUGUGAACCGCUUUUGCCUGGGGGCAAUAAGGGCGUCGUGCACGUCCGAUGAGAGUACCAGGCGAAUAAGCAUCGGCUAACUCCGUGCCAGCAGCCGCGGUAAUACGGGGGAUGCGAGCGUUAUCCGGAUUCAUUGGGUUUAAAGGGUGCGUAGGCUGUGCGUCAAGUCAGGGGUGAAAUUCCGGGGCUCAACUCCGGGGCUGCCCUUGAUACUGUCGCGCUGGAGUGCGGAUGCCGCCGGAGGAAUGAGUGGUGUAGCGGUGAAAUGCUUAGAUAUCACUCAGAACACCGAUUGCGAAGGCAUCUGGCGAAUCCGUAACUGACGCUGAGGCACGAAAGCGUGGGGAUAGAACAGGAUUAGAUACCCUGGUAUUCCACGCCGUAAACGAUGAUGGCUAACCGCCGGCGACACACUGUCGGUGGCCAAGCGAAAGCGAUAAGCCAUCCACCUGGGGAGUACGUCGGCAACGAUGCAACUCAAAGGAAUUGACGG